UUAAUAACAAAUCCUUUUGAUAUUUACUUGCUGAAAAUUGUGAUCCCCGCUUCCAUAGAACAAUAUCGUGGCAACGUAGACCUAAGUGGUCAUAUUGAAUCCUUGGGAGCCAUCACAAGUACGGCCGGCCUAUAUUUGAAAGAAAAUGCCGUGUUCGUCCAGCGGCUUAAAUGAGAAAGUACCAUACCUUGGGCGGAUAGCGGGCAGGACAAUUCAAACUAACUGGUCCUCACCUCAUUACUCUGAGGAAUUGCUUGAACUGCUGGUGAGAUGGAAUCGAAAUGAUCCAGUAGAAAAUGGUAAAGGAACCACCUCAGCAUCUGGAAGUCCUUUCGUAGCAACUCAUCCCUCUUUGUCAGAGACCCGCACACCAUGCUAAGUGCCCCUAAAUAGCCAAGUACAGAAUGGGACUGUUGGGAACGAAAAUCACGCGGAAAACUCUGAUUUGGACGAUGAUGGUUUGGAGUAAUGGGUGAAGAAGAAGCCCCAAUUGGUUAGCCCUCUUGGUAAUACCUUUGGGCCACAUAUGGACGGCCAUCUUGCUACAUGUAAACACGAAAAUCGGUACCACUUGUGAUUCCAAAUACUUUCUUUUGUCUUCUAAUUCAAUUAAGACGCCAUGUUCUUCAUGUGUGAAGUGCAAAUGUUCCACUUGUAAUUUAAUUUUUUGUGAAGCUUUGGUUGGCCAUGCUUAAUUUAGUCAGCUAAUU